rnacentral:rRNA from 1 species
CAGUAGCCGCGGGAAUACGUAGGGCGCAAGCGUUAUCCGGAAUUAUUGGGCGUAAAGAGCUCGUAGGCGGUUUGUCGCGUCUGCCGUGAAAGUCCGGGGCUCAACCCCGGAUCUGCGGUGGGUACGGGCAGACUAGAGUGAUGUAGGGGAGACUGGAAUUCCUGGUGUAGCGGUGAAAUGCGCAGAUACCAGGAGGAACACCGAUGGCGAAGGCAGGUCUCUGGGCAUUAACUGACGCUGAGGAGCGAAAGCAUGGGGAGCGAACAGGAUUAGAUACCCCCGUAGUCCCUGUCUCGUAUAC